rnacentral:tRNA from 1 species
ACCUGAGUGGCUCAGUCAGCUAAGCGUCUGACUUCAGCUCAGGACAUGAGCUCGUGGUCCGUGAGUUUGAGCCCCACAUCAGGUG